rnacentral:lncRNA from 1 species
AGCUGCUUGAAGAUAUAUGAGGCUAAUUGAGCUUGUGCAUUUGUUGGCUAUUGCUGCUACAGUGGAUGCUGUUGUUCAGUAUUCAGAUAUCAAGAAACAACUAGCCAAAGUAAGGAGGAACGAGGGGCCCAUGAAGCUCAGUAGAGCUUGUGAUAAUAUUUGCAAGAGAAGACUGCCUACCAAACUAACUUCAGAAAAGCAACCCGUAUUCCAGCAGAAGAGCAGCCAUCACUCAACUGCCCCCCAGGGACUGCUAUGAGCCAGCUAAGACAAUCAACAUUUUUACUUUAAAGUUACACCUUGAUUCAGUCUCAGAAACGUGAAAUAAAAUGUGGUAAGCUGUUUUACUUAUUAGAUAUCACUCCAAAUGAUUUCAGUUAUUUACAAUUUUUUAAAAAUCACCUUCAUGAUUGAAAAAUUUGGUGAAAAAUGUCCUCCACUGAAGACAUCAUUCAGAUCCAGAAGGCAUUAAGCAGAAGUACCAUCAUCUAGAUAUUAAAGGCCCCAAAGUACUAAGUUAGAAUUACUAAGCUAUUUCAUGUAAAUAUGGAUUUUUUUCUUUUUUUGCCCAAAUUAUCCAGGCAAUUUACUUGUUUUCUUCUGUAGCACAUAGUGUGUUAUGGCUUUGUCAUGGUUAGUGCAUCUUACCAGGUAUGCAGUUUUUUCUGCAUUGUAGUUUAAAAAGUAACCACAUAAAUUAUAUAGCAAAAAGGCUCACAUCUGCUAGGAGCAUGACAGAUGCACAAACUUAAAUUGGAGUUCCUGUCAAAGUCUAUGCUGUCAUGUUCAUGGACAUAACAUUGAUCCUGGAUUCCUGUGGCCACUAACUAAGGCUGGGAGCAGAAGAAUUAAAGGUCAAAUGCAC